CUUACCAAGGCUUAAAUGGGAAAUGACAGGAGAUGAAAUAGACUUUUCUUGAGACAUUAGUCAAGUGGUCCCAGGGUUUUCUCCAGCUCGGUUCUGGAGGGGUUGGGUUAAUUCCGCCACGGAGCCCAACCCUUGUCACUAGUUGCAGCCAUUAAGUUGGGGACUCUAGGGAGACUGCCAGUGCAAAUAGGGAGGAAGGUGGGGAUGACGUCAAGUCAUCAUGGCCCUUACGCGUAGGGCCACACACGUAAUACAAUGGCAGGUACAAAGGGCAGCGACCUUGCGAGAGCAAGCAAAUCUCGAAAACCGGUUUCAAGUCGGGAUGGGAUUUGCAACUUGGACCUCUGAAACUGGGAAAGGUAGUAAAUCGCGUCAACCAUGGCGCGGGAAUACG
rnacentral:rRNA from 1 species